UACGUAGGGGGCAAGCGUUGUCCGGAUUUAUUGGGCGUAAAGAGCGUGUAGGCGGCCAUACAGGUCCGUUGUGAAAACUCGAGGCUCAACCUCGAGACGUCGAUGGAAACCGUAUGGCUAGAGUCCGGAAGAGGAGAGUGGAAUUCCUGGUGUAGCGGUGAAAUGCGCAGAUAUCAGGAAGAACACCCGUGGCGAAGGCGGCUCGCUGGGACGUGACUGACGCUGAGACGCGAAAGCGUGGGGAGCAAACAGG
rnacentral:rRNA from 1 species